rnacentral:snRNA from 1 species
AAAUUUUUUAAAAAUUUAAAAAUUAAAACUGGAAUGAUAUAGAGAAGAUUCACCUGGCCCUGCAUGCAGGGAUUGACAAGCAAAUUCAUGAAGCAUUCUAGAUUUUA